GGGACCAGGGAGAGAAAGAAGCUUCUCUCCUGGGCCCAUGGCCCCCUGGCCUUCCCCGGGGACAGGCCCGGAGACGUUGUGAAAUCUUCUCACCCCCAAGCGGUGGCUGGGAAGCUUCAAAUGUUUUUUUAGGCCUUUCCAGCAUAAAAGCAAAAAUUGAUGAGUUUCAGUGGCAUAAGCUCUGAGGCACAAAGGAAAAACCCCCAAGGUGGUGGGUGUGAGGAGGAAACUUUUUAUUGUCUUGCUGUGGAUUUUUUUCUUUCAUUUUUCUUUUCUUUUCCUUUGCUAGUCUCUUUAUUAAGUCAAGAUGUUAUAUGAAGGCACCAGUUAAAUAUUACAGGCAAGCUUCUUAAAGGAACCCUUUCCUCCUCUGUUACAGAUGGGUCUCUAGUUUGGCCGUGUUCCUAUCUCCAUUCCUCUUCCUCUCUUCUCCCUCCUCCCAAGUCUUCUCUCACCUUUUUUUUUUUCCCCCAGGGGAAACAUAAGGAAACACUUCAAUGACAAAUUCUAAGAAGGUCAUACCUUACCUUCCAAGAACUUUAGCUACUGAUCCUGCGGCUUCACAAGCAUACCCUCCUUUUACUGGGAAAGUCUUUGCGGGAGGAAUUUCAAGCUUGGUUCAAGGAGUUCCCACACUGGAGAAGAUGGUCCCAUCAAUCCAGGUAACUUGGUAUUUGGGGAUCUUCUCCCCAGAGGUGCUCCCUCCCGCCAGCACAUUUCCUUAUCACCGCCUGUAGUGAAUGUAACACCCAGGCAUCUCCCCAGACCUCACCGUUAACCCACCUUCAGCAGUGAAAUAUCAGAUGCUGUGCCUGAUGCUAUGGAGAUUUUUUUUUUUUUAGUAUAAAGAUAAUUCCUGACCUCAUUUGACUACAUUUUAGACGCCAUGUACGUCCAUAUCUUAUAUCCAUCUUAUGAGCCAUUCAACGUUGUGUAACUCUCUUCAGAGCUAUAUUGUAGUUAGAAUUCUGUUUUCAUUCAUUCAUUACUUAACUUACUUAUUUUCUAAUGAUGCUUAUUUU
rnacentral:lncRNA from 1 species